rnacentral:tRNA from 1 species
GCCGUUGAACAGCGCGGUCAGGUUGAGCGCCGGCUGGGUGCGGUCCAGCGGGAUGGUGGUGCCGGGCCGCAGCACCGCGUUCGGGUCGCCGACGUCGGUGCC